CAGCCGUAAACUAUGCGCGUUAGGUGUAAUGGUGACCACGAGUCACCGGGGUGCCGAAGGGAAACCGUGAAACGUGCCGCCUGGGAAGUACGGUCGCAAGGCUGAAACCUAAAGGAAUUGGCGGGGGAGCACCACAACGGGUGGAGCCUGCGGUUUAAUUGGACUCAACGCCGGAAAUCUCACCGGAUAGGACAGACAUAUGAUAGUCGGGCUGAAGACUCUACUUGAUGAUCUGAGAGGUGGUGCAUGGCGUCAGUGACU
rnacentral:rRNA from 1 species